rnacentral:sRNA from 1 species
UGAAAUGACUAUGAUACACACUCUUCCUUCCUAGU